rnacentral:rRNA from 1 species
GACGAACGCUGGCGGCGUGCUUAACACAUGCAAGUCGAACGGGAAGGCCCUGCUUUGGUGGGGUGCUCGAGUGGCGAACGGGGGAGUAACACGUGAGUAACCUGUCCUUGACUUUGGGAUAACUUCAGGAAACUGGGGCUAAUACCGGAUAGGAGCUCCUGCUGCAGGGUGGGGGUGGGUAGGUUUCGGCGGUUGGGGGUGGACUCGCGGCUUAUCAGCUUGUUGGUGGGGUAGUGGCUGAGCAAGGCUAUGACAGGUAGCAGGGCUGAGCGGGUGAGCGGAUCCAUUGGGAUGGAGCUGCGGCACAGCCUCGUCCGGGACGCAGCGGUGCGGAAUAUUGCACAAUGGGCGGAGGCAUGAUGUGGCCCCGCAGCGCGCGGGAUGAGGGCAUUGGCUUAGUAAUCCGCUUCUGCCUGUGACGAAGCGUGAAUGACAGUAAUGGGUAAAGAAGCACCGGCUAACUACGUG